GCUAUGCAGACACAGCUGUUCACUUCACACAGGAAAUUUGUGGUAGCAGGGGAAUAGAGAAGGGGUUUCUGAGCAUCAGUUUGGUGUGUCUUAGGUUAGAGGACUCUUGGCACGGGAUAUGAGGUCAUGUAGCAGGGCAGCUGCUGGUAAAGGCUUUGUGCUGACUUGUGUCCCAGGUACUCUAGUUACAUUUGGUCAUGCAGCAGGUCUGCUUCCUGCCACAGAUCCUGUGUGCCUAAUGCAGCUGUUCACUAGAUCCCAGAUCAGCCAGCUCUUGCUGGUGGAGAUGAAGCAGUGCUGUGCCAAAGGUGCAGGUACCAUGGGAGGGACAACUGGAAGAGCAAGGCUCUUAGGGCUUGCAGAGGUGCAAGGUGUGGAAUCCUUCUGUCUAAGGCUCUGUGAAGAGCAAGUGCCCAAGAAAGACACUCAGUAUCAUGUUCUUUGAGGAUGUUUAGCAAACACCUCAUUCUUUCCUGUUCUAGGUCUUGGGAGAGCCUGGCAUGGUACUCUGGGAAAGCAUUGUUUGCAAGAGCCAGGCUACACGGCUCAUUCCCAGCCCGGGUCUAGAAAAGGGCCUAACUCUCCUUAGGCAGCAGCAGGGGAAGAUGGGGAUGCUUUAGUAGCUUCCUCUUCACCACAAUAGCCUGUAGGACCUUGUGACUUUGACAAGGAAUCUUCACAUUACUCUGAUCCUAAAUGGUGAGGAAGAAGGGAAAACCCAGAAAGACUUGAGUAGGGAAGGGGGAGCAGGGAAUGGCAGUUGACUGCAGAUGCUUGAUGGCUCAUGGUGAAUCAGAUGCACUUGAACUCUGAAGAAGUGGCUCCUGUUGGUACUGAAUGGGCUGUGCAGCCUGUGCUGGCAGCUGGGAGGGGAGUGAGUCAGCGCAGGAGCACUGGAGAGUCUGACUCAACACCCAGCACGGCUGUUCCCUGAGCCACUUCAGCCUCAAGUGUGUUCCUGCGAGUGCUCUCUUGGAUCGUCUUUGUAUCCACUAACUUGUUUGUUUGGAUUUUUCCCAUCUUGAUGUCAUUUCUGUGUGUUUUCUUUAUUUCAGUAAAAAAGGUACUUUAA